rnacentral:rRNA from 1 species
UUUAAUUCGAUGCAACGCGAAGAACCUUACCUACUCUUGACAUCCAGAGAACUUAGCAGAGAUGCUUUGGUGCCUUCGGGAACUCUGAGACAGGUGCUGCAUGGCUGUCGUCAGCUCGUGUUGUGAAAUGUUGGGUUAAGUCCCGCAACGAGCGCAACCCUUAUCCUUUGUUGCCAGCGGUCCGGCCGGGAACUCAAAGGAGACUGCCAGUGAUAAACUGGAGGAAGGUGGGGAUGACGUCAAGUCAUCAUGGCCCUUACGAGUAGGGCUACACACGUGCUACAAUGGCGCAUACAAAGAGAAGCGACCUCGCGAGAGCAAGCGGACCUCAUAAAGUGCGUCGUAGUCCGGAUUGGAGUCUGCAACUCGACUCCAUGAAGUCGGAAUCGCUAGUAAUCGUGGAUCAGAAUGCCACGGUGAAUACGUUCCCGGGCCUUGUACACACCGCCCGUCACACCAUGGGAGUGGGUUGCAAAAGAAGUAGGUAGCUUAACCUCGGGAGGGCGCUUACCACUUUG